AUUGAACGCUGGCGGCAGGCUUAAUACAUGCAAGUCGAGCGCGCGGCGCACGGGUGAGUCAUGUCUGGGAAACAGCUUGAUGGAGGGGGAUACUUCCUGGAAACGGUACUUAUUACCGCAUAGCAUUCGCUGUUCCCAGAUGGGAUUAGCUAGUAGGUGGGGUAAUGGCUAACUUAGGCGACGAUCCCUAGCGGGUCUGAGAGGUUGACCAGCCACACUGGAACUGAGACACGGUCCAGACUCCUACGGGAGGCAGCAGUGGGGAAUAUUACACAAUGGGCGAAAGCCUGAUGCAGCAACGCCGCGUGUGUGAAGAAGGCCUUCGGGUUGUAAAGCACUUUCAGCGAGGAGGCGUUACUCGCAGAGAAAGCACCGGCUAACUACGUGCCAGCAGCCGCGGUAAUAC
rnacentral:rRNA from 1 species